ACGCACGCUGGCGGCGUGCUUCACACAUGCCAGUCGAACGGAAAGGCCCUGCUUUUGUGGGGUGCUCGAGUGGCGAACGGGCGAGUAACACGUGAGUAACCUGCCCUUGACUUUGGGAUAACUUCAGGAAACUGGGGCUAAUACCGGAUAGGAGCUCCUGCUGCAUGGUGGGGGUUGGAAAGUUUCGGCGGUUGGGGAUGGACUCGCGGCUUAUCAGCUUGUUGGUGGGGUAGUGGCUUACCAAGGCUUUGACGGGUAGCCGGCCUGAGAGGGUGACCGGCCACAUUGGGACUGAGAUACGGCCCAGACUCCUACGGGAGGCAGCAGUGGGGAAUAUUGCACAAUGGGCGGAAGCCUGAUGCAGCAACGCCGCGUGCGGGAUGACGGCCUUCGGGUUGUAAACCGCUUUCGCCUGUGACGAAGCGUGAGUGACGGUAAUGGGUAAAGAAGCACCGGCUAACUACGUG
rnacentral:rRNA from 1 species